GAUGAACGCUGGCGGCGUGCUUAACACAUGCAAGUCGAACGGUGAAAGAGAGCUUGCUCUCUGGAUCAGUGGCGAACGGGUGAGUAACACGUGAGCAAUCUGCCCCUGACUCUGGGAUAAGCGCUGGAAACGGCGUCUAAUACCGGAUAUGGCCUGCGACGGCAUUUUCAGCAGCUGGAAAGAACUUCGGUCAGGGAGGAGCUGGCGGCAAAUCAGCUAGUUGGUGAGGUAACGGCUCACCAAGGCGUAGAAGGGUAGCCGGCCUGGGAGGGGGGCCGGCCACACUGGGACUGAGACACGGCGCAGACGGCUACGUGGGGCAGCAGGGGGGAAUAUGGCACAAUAGGCGCAAGCCUGAUGCAGCAACGCCGCGUGAGGGACGACGGCCUUCGGGUUGUAAACCUCUUUUAUCAGGGAAGAAGCGAGAGUGACGGUACCUGCAGAAGAAGGACCGGCCAACUACGUGCCAGCAGCCGCGGUAACAC
rnacentral:rRNA from 1 species